rnacentral:rRNA from 1 species
GAUGAACGCUGGCGGCGUACCUAAUACAUGCAAGUCGAGCGAACGGACGAGAAGCUUGCUUUUCUGAUGUUAGCGGCGGACGGGUGAGUAACACGUGGAUAACCUACCUAUAAGACUGGGAUAACUUCGGGAAACCGGAGCUAAUACCGGAUAAUAUUUUGAACCGCAUGGUUCAAAAGUGAAAGACGGUCUUGCUGUCACUUAUAGAUGGAUCCGCGCUGCAUUAGCUAGUUGGUAAGGUAACGGCUUACCAAGGCAACGAUGCAUAGCCGACCUGAGAGGGUGAUCCGCCACACUGGAACUGAGACACGGCCCAGACUCCUACAGGAGGCAGCAGUAGGGAAUCUUACGCGAUGGGCGAAAGCCUGACGGAGCAACGCCGCGUGAGUGAUGAAGGUCUUCGGAUCGUAAAACUCUGUUAUUAGGGAAGAACAUAUGUGUAAGUAACUGUGCAGAUAUUGACGGUACCUAAUCAGAAAGCCACGGCUAACUACGUG